UCGUUCUUCCCAAAUCGAUCCCUUUUUAGCUCCCCUCGCCAUGAACUCCACACCACCAUGGAUGCAGCCUUCAAGCACCCCCCCUCCCUCCCCUCUCUACCUCCCUACUGAAGCGCGUCCUCACCACCUAGGUGGCGACGAGCUGCUCUGUGCCCUCCCCCGUCCCUGUGAGCUUGAGGCGACGGCGCUCGCACACCAUGCGGACGUGACACCAUUUUUUUGCAAGACGCCAUACUUCUUGCUAUGACUUUGUUUUUUAUUUUUAGCUGGUUGCAACUUUUUGAUUUGUCGGUUCCAGCUUUUUAUUUUGCCGGUUGUAGCAAUUUCAUCCAUGAGCAUCAAUCUUUGAUUCGUUGGUUCCAACAUUUUUUCCCAUCGGCAGUAGCUUUUCACUUUGCUGGUUCCAACUUUUGAUUUCGCCGGUCACAACAACCCCCCUUUUUCGAGAGUAGCAAAUCUUUGAUUCAUAGGUUGUAGCAUUUUAUUUCGUCAAUAGUAGCUUUUUGCUGGAGGAAGGGGAUCGAUGAAGAAUUUUUUGGCUACAACCAUGUACCACAGAAGCUUCAACCAUGUGUGCUGCGAGCUGUGUACACUAGAGCUACAACCGGAGACGCCCGUCGCCGACGAGGCUGCAACCAGCACGGGCGGUGCAACCGGUGUCCAGCGAGCUGCAAGCGACACAACGGCAAGCUUCAAACCUUGUGGGUCACCAUGCCGGUGAUGGUGACCAUACCGGUGAGGGGAGCUGCAACCAUGGUGUGCUGCAAAAUUGACGAUGACGGUGAGCCGGCGGCGGCGACGCCAUGCUUCCAUGGGGUGCGCGAUCUGCUGGAACCGGCUUUGGCCGCAAGCUCCAGUAGGCUUUCAGUGGAGCUGCAUCUCACAGAUCGAUGGGUGGCGCUGGGAACGACGGUGAGAUUGGAAGGGCAUGUGACAAUGGCAACGGCGAGCGGCGGCGAGGUGCAGCGAGCUGUGUGGACGGACGUGGAGGACGAUGGGGCGGCGACCACGCCGUGCGUGGAGCGAGCGGGAGGCUGUGCGCGUGUAAAUCGCUAGUUGUUUUAGGAUAGAAAAGAAGGAGUCAACGGCUGUUAGUUGCCAGAUCAGACGUCUGCGGUGCGACCGGCCGAAAUUUCGGCCGGCGCACCGACGCCUAUCACUCGCCUACUUUAUAAGGCUGCCUAAUUUAUUGAUCAAACUUUUAGCUGUUCACGUCUGAUUCACUCGGUCAAACUUUGUUUUAUUGAGCGGACAAACUUUUUUUAAUAGGACAAACAUGUGACUUGAAUGAAAGAUGUGUCAGAACAA